rnacentral:rRNA from 1 species
UACGUAGGGGGCGAGCGUUUGUCCGGAUUUAUUGGGCGUAAAGAGCGUGUAGGCGGCCAGGUAGGUCUGCUGUGAAAACUCGAGGCUCAACCUCGAGACGUCGGCGGAAACCAUCUGGCUAGAGUCCGGAAGAGGAGAGUGGAAUUCCUGGUGUAGCGGUGAAAUGCGCAGAUAUCAGGAAGAACACCCGUGGCGAAGGCGGCUCUCUGGGACGGUACUGACGCUGAGACGCGAAAGCGUGGGGAGCGAACAGG